CACAAAGCAGCAGUUGUAGAACUUUUCUAAUAAUAGAAAGAAAUAACACUAUUAUAUAUAAUAUUGGUCUUUCAUUUAACAUGAAUAUAGAAGAACUUUUCUUUACAGACACUUUUUCCCUUCAAAUUCUAACUCAUCAUCAUACCCAGAAAACAAAAAUAUUAAAAGAAACAAAGCAUUUCCUGUUCCUGUGAAAGAAAACCCAUCAAAAUC
rnacentral:misc_RNA from 1 species